rnacentral:rRNA from 1 species
CCUACGGGAGGCAGCAGUGAGGAAUAUUGGUCAAUGGGCGCGAGCCUGAACCAGCCAAGUCGCGUGAGGGAUGAAGGUUCUAUGGAUCGUAAACCUCUUUUAUAAGGGAAUAAAGUGUGGGACGUGUCCUAUUUUGUAUGUACCUUAUGAAUAAGGAUCGGCUAACUCCGUGCCAGCAGCCGCGGUAAUACGGAGGAUCCGAGCGUUAUCCGGAUUUAUUGGGUUUAAAGGGUGCGUAGGCGGCCUUUUAAGUCAGCGGUGAAAGUCUGUGGCUCAACCAUCGAAUUGCCGUUUAAACGGGUGGGCUUGAGUAUGUUUGAGGCAGGCUGAAUGCGUGUUGUAGCGGUGAAAUGCUUAGAUAUCACGCAGAACCCCGAUUGCGAAGGCAGCCUGCCAAGCCAUGCCUGACGCUGAUGCACGAUCGCGUGGGGAUCACACAGGAUUAGCUACCCGGGUAGUC